ensembl:lncRNA
CACGGCCCUGUCCUCCCCAGUUAAAGUUCUGCUCCAGUCAUUACCACGGGCCUUUCCUCCCCAAUUAAAGUGCCACCAACCUCCUGUGAAAUCCAUCCCCCAUUAAAUUUAGUGAAAAUCCCCAAAGUCAUGGUCUUUGUCCUGGUUUCAUUGGUAAGAGAAUGCCCCUCUCCCCACAGGUGUGAUUACUACCUCUGAGGGUUUAGAGCUUGAGGUAGUCACCUUAUACAAGUACUUGGGAGUGUGGCUAGAUGGUACACUGUCCUUCUCUCAGCACAUAUCAAAGCUGCAGGAUAAGGUGAAAUCUAGACUUGGUUUCCUCUAUCGUAAUCGCUCCUCUUUCACCCCAGCUGCCAAACUAACCCUGAUUCAUAUGACCAUCCUGCCCAUGCUAGAUUAUGGAGAUGUAAGUUAUAGAUUGGCCAUCAGAUUUGCCACCAAUGUUCCUCAUCCUCCACCCGUUCUGCCAGUCACCUUCUGUUAAAGGUCCCCAAAGCACACACAUCCCUGAGUCGCCCCUCUUUUCAGUUCCCUGAAGCUAGCGACUGGAACGAGCUGCAACAAAUACUCAAACUGGACUGUUUUAUCUCCAUCUCUUCAUUCAAAGACUCAAUCAUGGACACUCUUACUGACAGUUGUGGCUGCUUUGUGGGAUGUAUUGUUGUCUCUACCUUCUUGCCCUUGUGCUGUUGUCUGUGCUCAACAAUGUUUGUACCCUGUUUUGUGCUGCUACCAUGCUGUGUUGCUACCAUGUUGUGCUCCUACCAUGUUGUGUUGUCAUGUUGUGUUGCUGCCAUGCUAUGUUGUUGUCUUAGGUCUCUUUCUGUAGUGUUGUGUUGUCUCUCUUGUCCUGAGUGUGUUUUGUUCUAUAUUUUUAUUAAAUAUAUUUUUAAUCACAGCCCCGUCCCUGCAGGAGGCCUUUUGCCUUUUGGUAGGCCGUCAUUGUAAAUAACAAUUUGUUCUUAACUGACUUGCCUAGUUAAAUAAAGGAACAAAUAAAUAAAUAAAUACAUGUGGAAUCACUCCAAGGCCAUUAUGAACUUUACCCUGGUUUAAGGUGGAAUCACUCCAAGGCCAUUAUGAACUUUACCCUGGUUUAAGGUGGAAUCACUCCAAGGCCAUUAUGAACUUUACCCUGGUUUAAGGUGGAAUCACUCCAAGGCAUUAUGAACUUUACCCUGGUUUAAGGUGGAAUCACUCCAAGGCAUUAUGAACUUUACCCUGGUUUAAGGUGGAAUCACUCCAACAGCAUUAUGAACUUUACCCUGGUUUAAGGUGGAAUCACUCCAACAGCAUUAUGAACUUUACCCUGGUUUAAGGUGGAAUCACUCUAAGGCCCUUAUGAACUUUACCCUGGUUUCAUGUGAAUCACUCCAACUAUACCACAAUGCAACAUGUUUUAGUGAGACAGCCAAUGCUAAUUCUCUUGGGCUGAGUUCCAAAUAGCUCCCUAUUCCCUAAAGAAUAUAUUUUGAUUUAACACUUGUUUGGUUCCAUAUGUGUUAUUUCAUAGUUUUGAUGUCUUCACUAUUAUUCUACAAUGUAGAAAAUAGUCCAAAUAAAGAAAACCCCUUGAAUGAGUAGGUGUGUCCAAACUUUUGACUGGUACUGUUGAUCUCUAACAAAGGGGUCGUGGAAAAGGUCUGUUGAAAUGAAUACUGUAGUGGUGUGUGAAAGGUAACACAAGCUUCCUCUCUGGUUCCAUUCCCCCAAUAGUAACUGGGUCAUUAUUGGAUGGUGAAUGUCAUGCUGUCCCUGGACUGUAGCACCACAUAAAAAAAUGACAAAUACAUUUAUUUAACUGUUAUUUAAUAAGAAACCUAUGUAAAUCCUUUAUACUGAUAAACAUAUAUUUGUACAGAUUGUAGACAAUACUGGUGCCUAGAUAAAUGGGCCUCUUCCAAUGGUGAUGUGUAGAGAUCUAGUGACAUGUUUUGACUAG